rnacentral:rRNA from 1 species
UACGUAGGGGGCAAGCGUUGUCCGGAAUCAUUGGGCGUAAAGAGCGCGUAGGCGGCCCGGUAAGUCCGCUGUGAAAGUCAAGGGCUCAACCCUUGAAUGCCGGUGGAUACUGUCGGGCUAGAGUCCGGAAGAGGCGAGUGGAAUUCCCGGUGUAGCGGUGAAAUGCGCAGAUAUCGGGAAGAACACCCGUGGCGAAGGCGGCUCUCUGGGACGGUACUGACGCUGAGACGCGAAAGCGUGGGGAGCGAACAGG